rnacentral:rRNA from 1 species
UACAGAGGUCUCAAGCGUUGUUCGGAUUCAUUGGGCGUAAAGGGUGCGUAGGUGGCGUCGUAAGUCGGGUGUGAAAAUUUCGGAGCUUAACUCCGAAACUGCAUUCGAUACUGCCGUGCUUGAGGACUGGAGAGGAGACUGGAAUUUACGGUGUAGCGGUGAAAUGCGUAGAUAUCGUAAGGAAGACCAGUGGCGAAGGCUGGGU